AUGCAAGUCAUAAACCCAAAUGAAGAUAAAGUGGUGCUAAACAGAAAUGAAAUUGUUGCUUUAAUAUCAGAAAUACAACCUAACUCUAUUCAAAAUUGGUCUGAUAAAACUGAAAAAUUUCAUAUAAAUAACAUUGAAAAGGGUCAUAAAAAGCAAAAACAAAAUUUAAACAUUGAUCUUUCUGAAGCAGACUUAACAAAUGAUCAAAAGGAAAAAUUAAGAAAAUUUGUUGAUAAAAAUAGGAAUGUGUUUGCAACAGAUUUGUCUGAAAUUGGCAUGACAGAUGUACACUUUCAUGAAAUUGACACAGGGAACAACCCUCCUGUAAGUUUACCCCCACAUAGAGCUGCACCCAAUAUUAGAACAGAGAUUGAAAGACAAGUUGAAGAGAUGUUGAAGUACAAAAUUAUUGAGCCUUCUAAUUCUAUUUGGCAUAGCCCCGUUUGUCUCACUCGUAAGAAAGACAACAGUUGGCGAUUUUGCGUUGAUUAUAGAAGGGUCAAUGCUUUUACUACCCCGAUGCAUGCUACGCUUGGAAACAUGCAUGAUGUCUUUGAUACUAUGGGAGAAAUGCAACCACAGAUAUUUAGUUCUAUUGAUUUAUCUUCAUCAUUUUGGCAGGUGCCUUUGCACCCAAAUUCUAAACAAAAAGCAGCGUUUGUAACUCAUUCUGGAAUCUAUGAAUGGAAUAGAAUGCCGUAUGGUCUACGUAAUAGCAGUAUAGCUUUUUCUCAGGUCAUGUCACAAAUAUUAAGAGGAUUGCACUGGAAGUAUGUACUUGCAUAUAUUGAUGAUAUUUUGAUUUUCAGUAAAACAUUUGAAGAGCAUCUGCAACAUCUUGAAGAAGUUUUUGCUAGAUUACGAAAAGCAAAUUUUACUCUUAAGCCACAAAAAUGUCACUUUGCUGUUAAGAAAGUCAAUUAUCUAGGUCACAUUAUUUCAAAAGACGGUGUCAAGGUAGAUGAUUCUAAAAUUACUAUAGUGAAAAACUAUCCGAGGCCUAAAAAUCAGCACGAGGUCAGACAGUUCUUAGGUCUGUGUAAUUACUAUAGACGCUUUGUAAAGGACUAUGCUAAAAUCACAGUUCCCUUGAAUAAUCUUUUACAAAAAGACAAAGAAUAUGUUUGGACUGAUAAAUGUCAAAUUUCGUUUGAAAGUCUUCAACAAGCUUUGACAACUGCUCCUGUUUUGUCGUACCCAGAUAUGUCAAAACCAUUUAUUUUGACUUGUGACGCAUCAGGCUCAGCCAUUGGCUAUAUUCUAGGUCAGUUAGAUGAAAAUGGUAAAGAAAGAGUAAUAUCAUACAGUGGUCGUGCUUUGAGAAAUAAUGAAUUAAACUGGACUAUUACUGAAAAAGAAUGCUUAGCAGUUCUUGAAGGUAUCACUAAAAACAAAGUUUAUUUGUCUCAUGCUAGAUUCAAAGUGUAUACUGAUCAUCAAGCUUUAGUUUGGUUACACAAAUCAAAAGAUACUAACUCACGUCUAGGUAGAUGGGCUCUUGAAUUGCAAAAUUAUGAUUUUGAAAUUAUUUAUAAAGAAGGUAAAAAGAAUACAAAUGCGGAUGCUUUGUCAAGAAUUCCAUAUAAAGAAAUUGAAGAUGAAAUACACCCAAAAUUGUCUGUAAACAGUUUAUUGGAAAAUAAAAUCAAAACUGAAAUUAAGUUCUAGUAUGCAAAUGAAAAGCCAAUAAUUGCAGCUAUUGAAAAUAAUGAGGUUGAUCUGAAUGAUGUAUCAGAUAUUUCAAAAUUGCAAAGAGAAUGUGAUCAGUUGAUCCCAUUGAUAAAAUACCUUGAAACGGGCGAGUUGCCCGAAAAUCAAAAAGAGGCUCGCAACAUAUGUUAUGAACGAGACCACUAUAGAUUAAGUCAAUCAGGUGAGUUAAUUCAUUUACAUAGGUCAAGAACAAAAGGGAUACCUAAAGCUGAAAGCAUGAUUGAACAAUUGGUUUUACCGAAAUGUCUAAGACAAGAUGCUUUGUUAGCAUAUCAUGAUCACAAUGGUCAUACAGGCAUCAAACGCACAUACGCUGGUAUACAUCUUAAAUAUUAUUGGUCAGGUAUGUAUCAAGAAGUUUAUAAUUAUGUGACGUCAUGUGAUAAAUGUCAAAGGUCAAAACAACCAACACACCAUCGUCCGGCACCAUUGCUUCCUCUUCCUAUUGAAGACACUUUGUCUAGAUGGCACAUGGACAUUCUUACAUGUCUACCCAAAACAAAAGACGGAUAUCAACACUUAUUGUUAGUAGUCGAUAGUUUUUCUCGAUGGCCCGAAUGUUUCCCUCUUAAGACUCAAGAAGCUACCGAAAUAGCUGAAGUAUUAUACAAUGAGGUUUUUUCUAGAUUUGGUGCGCCAAGAGCAAUUGUAUCUGACAGAGGAGCUAAUUUUUGUAGUAAACUUAUUCAGGCUCUAUGUGAACUAUUUGAAGUUCAAAGGUAUCAUACUAGUUCGUACCAUCCGCAAACCAAUUCAACAUGUGAACGAAUGAAUCGAACGAUCGCACAAACUUUACGUACAUUAGUGGCUAAAGAUCAGUCAAAUUGGCAUAAGUUAAUCCCUAGCGUUAUGAUGGCUUUACGUAUGUCUACUAAUACUGAAUCAACUGGUUAUUCUCCAUUUCAAAUGUUGUUUGGUAAAGAAAUGAACUUGCCAUUUGAUAUUUCUGUUCAACCUAAAGAUGGUAUGAGUAAAACUGCUAAGAAUCAUCUCGAAACCCUUAUUGAUAGACUAAAAAUUGUAAAAGAUAUUGCAAAAACGUCAGUAGAAAAUUCACAAGAGAAAACUAAAAAUAGGUAUGAUAAGAAAGCUGAAGCACCAAAAUUUAGAGUUGGAGAUUAUGUCAUGUUGCAAUCUAUGAAAGUACCAAAAGGUUUAUCACCCAAAUUACACCCAAAGUGGGAUGGUCCAUUUUAUGUAAUUAAUGUUGGACAAAAUAAUACAUGUAAGUUAAGACGAUGUUCAGAUCACAAGUUGAUUAAGUCUCGAAUACACACAAAUAGAAUGAAACCAUAUAUUGACCCAAGAGAUCAUAGGAACUAUUCCUGAUAUUCAAAGAAAUGUUGCUGAAAAUAAUAGAAAUAGAGUAGAUGAUAUAGAUGAUGUUCAAAAUGACAAUAUAGAUAGUUCACAAAAUGAUGAUGAACAAAUGCAACAAAAUGAUGCACAUAUACAACAAAAUGAUGCAUUGUUGCAACAAAAUGAUGAGACUAAUGAUGAAGAUAAUGACUUCAUAGCAGAAAAAUUACUUGCCAAAAAGCGUAGGCAAGGCAAAAACUAUUAUAAGGUCAAAUGGGUAGGUUAUAAAAAAGACUACCUGGGAACCUGA
rnacentral:sRNA from 1 species